UACGUAGGGUGCGAGCGUUAAUCGGAAUUACUGGGCGUAAAGCGUGCGCAGGCGGUCUGUUAAGACCGAUGUGAAAUCCCCGGGCUUAACCUGGGAACUGCAUUGGUGACUGGCAGGCUUUGAGUGUGGCAGAGGGAGGUAGAAUUCCACGUGUAGCAGUGAAAUGCGUAGAGAUGUGGAGGAAUACCGAUGGCGAAGGCAGCCUCCUGGGCCAACACUUACGCUCAUGCACGAAAGCGUGGGGAGCAAACAGG
rnacentral:rRNA from 1 species